AUACAAAAUAUGUAGAUCUACAAAAAGACAACAGGUUCAGUUAAGGGAAAGAUUGAUCUUUGUCAAGGAAGACACCAUCCUAGGACAUGACUACCUUCCAGGA